GAAAAUGUUAAGUAGAGUGAAAAAUGUAUCACUGAUUAACCAGUGGAAAUUUAUUACAGCAGUUAAGAGCCCUGGGUCUGGAGCAAAACUGCUGAGGUUUGAGGCCCCGUUUUGCUGCUCACUAGCUACAUGAUCUUGGGCAAGUUAUUUAAGCUCUCUGAGCUUCAGUUUCUUCCUCUGCAGAAUGGGGAUGAAAGUGGACUACUACCUCAUGGCAUGUUUUGAGGAUGAAAUGAGCUAAUAAACACAGUCUUCAGCCCUACAUUAGGAUGGCCUAAGGAAAACAAGAAGACUGAAUGAUAUUCCCUGGUUCUCACUCUGUCAUCCAAGCUAGAGUGCAGUGGGGUAAAACACGGCUCACUGCAGCCUCGAUCUCUUGGCUCAAGCUAUCCUCCUGCCUCAGCCUCCUGUUUAUCUGGGACCACAGCUGACUUAUAUAAGUUAUUAGUCUUCUAGAAGGAUCACAAGGAACCAGCAUCAAAGAAAUGGAAUCCAGCUAAUUCCCCCAAGAAACUGAAGUUUUCGGGACAUGACUUGUGAAAGGCAAACAUAAGCUGACAUCUUUUCACACUGAACAGCAAGAGCCAAAGUGUAUCCGAAAAGCCAUUGUCAAAACAAGGAGUGAGAACAGCUGGGGUCAAGACCUAAUGAAGGGCAUCACUCAGCCUCUUUGAGCCUCGGAUUCCUCAUUUGUAAAGUGGGCAUAAUAAUACCUCACAGGGUAGUUAUGAGGGCAAAUGAGAUAAUGGACACGAAGGCACCUGUACACUCCACGGUGCUAUCAGAAUAUUGACUAUUAGUGCUUUCAUCACGCGGCUCCAUCCAAACCCCUGCUUUCCCUCACUCCAAAAUUAUUCCUUUGCAGGUGGUGCAAAGGAUCAGCACGGGAGUUUUGACCUGCUCCGUUUCCGACCUGGGUCGGUUCACCCCUCCUUAG
rnacentral:lncRNA from 10 species